rnacentral:rRNA from 1 species
UACGAAGGGGGCUAGCGUUGUUCGGAAUUACUGGGCGUAAAGGGCGCGUAGGCGGUGUGUCAAGUCAGGCGUGAAAGCCCCGGGCUCAACCUGGGAACCGCGCUUGAGACUGGCACGCUCGAGUUCGGGAGAGGAUGGUGGAAUUCCCAGUGUAGAGGUGAAAUUCGUAGAUAUUGGGAAGAACACCGAUGGCGAAGGCAGCCAUCUGGACCGACACU